GAGAGAGAGGGAGACACAGAAUCCAAACCAGGCUCCUGGCUCCAAGCUGUGAGCACGGAGCCCGACUCAAGGUUUGAACUCAUGAGCCAUGACAUCAUGACCUGAGCCGAAGUUGGACUCUUAACCGACUGAACCACCCAGGCACCCCUGUCAGGUUCUUUUUGAGAGAACAUGAAGUGAGAACAAAACUCAUCUGCAUAAUUGAGGCUUAAUUCAAUACUUCUAUUGAUCUAAAACGUUUUGGAGGAGGCUGGGCUAAGAUUUUUUUUUUUUAAAUAAUCUCUACACCCAACAUUGGGGCUCAAGCUCACAACCUCAACAUCAAGAGUUACGUGCUCUACCGACUGGGCCAGCCAGGCACCUUUUGGAGGAAGUUGUUUUUAAAAUAUUCUGGAAAACACCAUGGGCUCUUGUAUUAGAUGCAAGUUUAAAGUCCAAGUAAGAACUAGGAAUUUUGUUAAAACGUACACGACACAAUUCAGCAACUCUGUUUAUUGUUAUUUUUUGAAUGUUUAUUUAUUUUGAGAGAACGAGAAAGCAGAGCCGGGGAGGGGCACAGAGAGAGGGAGAGAAAGAAUCCCAAGCAGGUUCCUCACUGUCAGCCCAGAGCCAGAUGUGGGGCUUGAUCUCAGGAACCCGUGAGAUCAUGCCCUGAGCCAAAACCAAGAGUUGGACAUUUAACUGACUGAGCCAUCCAGGAGCCCUCUAUUUAUUCUUUUUUAAAUCACACAUGUACCACACCAGGACUUUGAAGACCUGGUUUUAAUCCUGGCUGUGUGGUUUCAGUAAAUCACUUCUCUCUGGGCCUUGAUUUUGGUAUUUUUCAAACAUGGGAAUUAAACUAGACUUGGGGUGGGGGUUGGAGGAGCUCCUGGGUGGCUAUGUUGCUUAAGUAUCCGACUUUGGCUUUGGCUCAGGUCAUGAUCUCACGGUUCCAGUUCCAGCCCCGAGUUGGGCUCUCCACUGUCAGCACAGAGCCUGCUUCGGAUCCCCUGUCCCCCUCUCUCACUGGCCUUACCCCCUCCCCUCAAAAAUAGACAUUAAAAAAAAUAAUAAACUAGACCAGGGGGUUCUAAUUUGUUUUUGACCAUAGAACUCUUUAUUCAAACAAAACCUCACUUGGAAUACAACACACAAAACAUACUAAAAGCUGAGUUUCUCAGGUUUGGUUUUGUUUUGUUUUCCAGGAGGGGGAGGGUCCCCACAGGCCAGCUCCUUGCUCACCUCCUCACCCCCUGAGGCAUCCGGAGGCCUGACCCUGAGCCCCAGCACAGAGCCCAGCAGCACCAAGCACAGCUUUGCCCAGGAGCAGUACUGUCAUGGAGACCACACAGACACUUUAAAAAUUCAACAGAAAGAUCAUCUUUCUGGUAGAAACAAACAAACAAAAAACAGAAGGAGUCCAGCGUAACCAGGACUGCCAAGAGUAAAGGGGAAACCAAAAGGAGAGUCCAUGAAGGCAGAAACUCUAAAUUCUGUGUAUAGACUCAGCUCAGGUCUCCGGCAAACCCCUGAACCAUGCAUGUAUGGGGCAAACUCAAAGAUGUUUACAGCCAAGGCUUAAAGAACUGAACUGAGAUAUGAGCCAUCACAGCAUGGCAGGGUAGAGUUGGGUCUAACCAAAUUCAUUACCUAAAACAAAAACCUUAGUGCUGCUCAGAACAAUAAUAAAACAGAAUCCAAAGUCUCCACAACAAAACCUUUACAAAGUCCAGGUUAUAAUCCAAAAUUACUCGGCAUGGAAAGAGUCAGGAAAAUGUGACCAUUCCCAGGAAAAAGGAGAACCAAUAGAUGCCAGUCCAGAGAUGACUUAUGUGUUGAAAUUUUCAGACACGGAUUUUAAAACAGCUAUUAUAACUAUUGAGCACAAUGAGGUCGAAGAAAAUAUGUUUCUAAUUGAUGUAAUAAAAAAAUCAAAGAAAUAGAAAAUCACUAGACUGAAGAAAAGAAUGGAGAUGAUGCAGUCAGUGAACUUGAAGACACAUUAACAAAUCAUUCAAUAAGAAUAAGAUAAAGAUUGAAGAUAAAUGGAGCUUCCUGGAACUAUGGUACAAUUUCUAAUGCCUAACUGGAAUCACAGAAGGAAGGAUAAAGAAACUAGAGCAGGAAAAAUACUCAAAGAAGUAAUGGCUCAAAAUUUCCAAAAUUUGGUGAAAGACAUAAAUUUACAAGUUCAAGAAUCUCAGCAAAUCCCAAACAAUAAAUUCAGAGAGAAAUACACAUUGGUAUAUCCUAGUCAAACUAGUGAAAACCACCAAUAAGGAAAAAAUCUUGAAAGCAGUCCUGUUACAUAUAGGGAAACAAUAAUUUGAAUUACCAUGGAUAGCUCAUCAAAAACGAUGGAAGCCAGAAGACAGCGCUAAAAGAAACUGUCAUCCCAGAACACUCUAUAAUUCAAUAAUGAAAGUCAAAUAAAGAGCUUACUGUCAGAAAAAGGAAAACUAAGUGAGUUUGUCCCUAUAUGAGCUGCAUUGCACAAAAUGCUAAAUAAAAGGUCUCCAGGCUGAAGGGAGAUGAUACCAGAGAGAGACAGAUUUUCAGGAAUGAAGAACAUCAGAAAUAGAUACUAUAUGAGUAAAUAUAAAAGACGAUUUUCUCUUAAUUUCUCUAAAAUACCAUUAGAUUAUACAUUAUAUAUGUUACAUACACAUAUUGUAUAUACUAUAGACUAUUAAAGCAAAAAUUGCAAUGAGUGUAUUUGGGUUUGUAAUGUGUGCAGAUGGAAUACCUAUAAUAAUAACAGAAGGGGGAGGGGGAAAUGGACCUAUAUCAUCGCAAGAUUUCUACAUUCCACAUGUAGUACAGUAUUACCUCUGAGUGGAUUGUGAACAGUUAAUGAUGUAUAUUGUGAUACCCAGAGCAACCACUAAUAUACUGGAGAAAAGAGAGCAAAAUGCCAACUGAUACAGUAAAAUGAAAUUCUAAAUAUUGAAAUCAUCAAAGGGGGAACAAAACAAAUAAGCAAAAAAUAAAAAUAAUAAAAACAAACUAGAGGGAAUAAACAAAAACAAUAAAAUGAUAGACCUAAAUCCAAUCAUAUUAAUUAUCAAAUGCCAAUGAACUAUAUAGUCCAGUAAAAGAGACUAUCACAAUAUAUACAAAAGCAAUAUUUAUGUGCUGUCUACAAGAGAUCUGCACUAAAGACAAAGACAUGGAUCAGUUAAAACUAAAUGGAUGGAGAAAGACACACAAGGCCAACAGUAAACUUACGAGGUCAGGAAUAGCUAUAUUAAUACCGGGGAAAAUAGGCUACAAGACACACAGUAUGAACAAAGCAGUGGCAAACAUUUUAUAAUAAUGAAAAGGUCAAUUCAUCACCAAGA